CGUGGAGGCUAUGGAAACCUGUAUACUUGAUUUACAUUCAGACAAAAUUUAGUAUUAAAAGACUGUUAUUACAUGUCAAAGGUCAUUAGAAAUAUUAUUUCUAUACCUUUGUUAUUAAAACAAGGUUAUAAAAUAAGGCUAAUGGGAAAUGGAUGCUCCAUUUUCUUUUCUAAUAACUUUUAGGGCAGUAGUUAUAUUGAUAAAAAUCUUUUAAUUCUUGCACUCAAUGAAAAUAUUUUUUAUAUUGAAAGAAAUAUGAAAAGA
rnacentral:lncRNA from 1 species